UACAGAGGUCUCAAGCGUUGUUCGGAUUCAUUGGGCGUAAAGGGUGCGUAGGUGGCGGGGUUAGUCAGGUGUGAAAUCUCGGGGCUCAACCCCGAAACUGCACUUAAUACUGCCUUGCUAGAGUACUGGAGAGGAGAUUGGAAUUUACGGUGUAGCAGUGAAAUGCGUAGAUAUUCGGAAGAACACCAGUGGCGAAGGCGGCUCACUGGACCGGUAUUGACGCUGAGGUGCGAAAGCGUGGGGAGCAAACAGG
rnacentral:rRNA from 1 species